rnacentral:lncRNA from 1 species
UCAGAAGCCCAGCCUUCGGACCUGUGCCUGAAACGUCCACCAUAAGAUUUGUGCCUGAAACUACUGACACCUUUUUCUUUUCCCCCCUCAUAAAAACCAAAGGGUAGGAGUUUCUGCUGGAGCUAGCAGGCCACGGGGGAAAAGACCUAUUUCAAAGGUAAAGCAGAAGGUUACUUCAAGCUGCUUGGUAAAUCCCCAGGCUCUUCCCAAAGUGGAGAGCUGAGAAGGCCUCCUAUUUGAUGCUCCAAUUCUUAGGUGAAAGAAAAAAAUAUCUCCCAGCUUCGUCAUUGCUCAAGGUG